rnacentral:rRNA from 1 species
AUUGAACGCUGGCGGCAGGCCUAACACAUGCAAGUCGAGCGGAUGAAGGGAGCUUGCUCCUGGAUUCAGCGGCGGACGGGUGAGUAAUGCCUAGGAAUCUGCCUGGUAGUGGGGGAUAACGUCCGGAAACGGGCGCUAAUACCGCAUACGUCCUGAGGGAGAAAGUGGGGGAUCUUCGGACCUCACGCUAUCAGAUGAGCCUAGGUCGGAUUAGCUAGUUGGUGGGGUAAAGGCCUACCAAGGCGACGAUCCGUAACUGGUUUGAGAGGAUGAUCAGUCACACUGGAACUGAGACACGGUCCAGACUCCAAAGGGAGGCAGCAGUGGGGAAUAUUGGACAAUGGGCGAAAGCCUGAUCCAGCCAUGCCGCGUGUGUGAAGAAGGUCUUCGGAUUUUAAAGCACUUUAAGUUGGGAGGAAGGGCAGUAAGUUAAUACCUUGCUGUUUUGACGUUACCAACAGAAUAAGCACCGGCUAACUUCGUG